UACGUAGGGGGCAAGCGUUGUCCGGAAUCAUUGGGCGUAAAGAGCGCGUAGGCGGCCCUGUAAGUCCGCUGUGAAAGUCAAGGGCUCAACCCUUGAAUGCCGGUGGAUACUGCAGGGCUAGAGUCCGGAAGAGGCGAGUGGAAUUCCCGGUGUAGCGGUGAAAUGCGCAGAUAUCGGGAAGAACACCCGUGGCGAAGGCGGUUCUCUGGGACGGUACUGACGCUGAGACGCGAAAGCGUGGGGAGCGAACAGG
rnacentral:rRNA from 1 species